rnacentral:rRNA from 1 species
UGGGGAAUAUUGCACAAUGGGCGAAAGCCUGAUGCAGCGACGCCGCGUGAGGGAUGACGGCCUUCGGGUUGUAAACCUCUUUCAGCAGGGACGAAGCGCAAGUGACGGUACCUGCAGAAGAAGCACCGGCUAACUACGUGCCAGCAGCCGCGGUAAUACGUAGGGUGCAAGCGUUGUCCGGAAUUACUGGGCGUAAAGAGUUCGUAGGCGGUUUGUCGCGUCGUUUGUGAAAACCAGCAGCUCAACUGCUGGCUUGCAGGCGAUACGGGCAGACUUGAGUACUGCAGGGGAGACUGGAAUUCCUGGUGUAGCGGUGAAAUGCGCAGAUAUCAGGAGGAACACCGGUGGCGAAGGCGGGUCUCUGGGCAGUAACUGACGCUGUGGAACGAAAGCGUGGGUAGCGAACAGG